rnacentral:rRNA from 1 species
AGUGAACGCUGGCGGUAGGCCUAACACAUGCAAGUCGAACGGCAGCACAGUAAGAGCUUGCUCUUACGGGUGGCGAGUGGCGGACGGGUGAGGAAUACAUCGGAAGCUACUUUUUCUUGGGGGAUAACGUAGGGAAACUUACGCUAAUACCGCAUACGACCUACGGGUGAAAUCAUGGGAUCUUCGGACAUUGCGUGAUUGAAUGAGCCGAUGUCGGAUUAGCUAGUUGGCGGGGUAAAGGCCCACCAAGGCGACGAUCCGUAGCUGGUCUGAGAGGAUGAUCAGCCACACUGGAACUGAGACACGGUCCAGACUCCUACGGGAGGCAGCAGUGGGGAAUAUUGGACAAUGGGCGAAAGCCUGAUCCAGCCAUACCGCGUGAGUGAAGAAGGUCUUCGGGUUGUAAAGCCCUUUUGUUGGGAAAGAAAAGCAGCAGGUUAAUACCCCGCUGUUCUGACGUUACCCAAAGAAUAAGCACCGGCUAACUUCGUG